rnacentral:lncRNA from 1 species
GGAGCCCCCGGCGCGCUCGGGCCCGGCGGGCAGAGCUCCGCACCCGCGGAGCCCCGGCGGGGCGGGCAGAGGCGCAGCCCCGGGACCCCCGACCCGCUCCCGAGUUCCAAAAUGACCUUUCCCUGCAUCGUUUUGGAGCAGAAAUAAAAGAAGGCUUGCAGCUACCAGAAAGUCAUUAAGGCAUUAGUUUCUCUGAGAAGACAGAUCUGAAGAAAAUUCAAGAAAAUGAGAAAAUAGAUCUAAAUAAGGUGGAGUUGAAUACAGUGGUUAACUACAAGCAAUAUGUUCUGAAGAUGGUGGUGUUCAGACAAAUACCCAAUUUGAUUCUGAUAAAUUGGAUGCAAGACUUUGACCAGCAUGAGAAGAACAGGCAUUGUGGAAGCAGGCAGCAUCCCACACCUGUGGAGGAGCUCAGCAGGAGAACAAAUGGGGGAAAAUAUUCCCAAUGUCUGUUGCUGCUGGUGGCUCAGGGAGUUUGAGCAGAGGUCUGUGGUGGUCCAGCUCGUUGGAAACUUUUGUGCUCAAACCAGGAGGAUGCUCCAGCUGGAGCUAAUUCCUGAAUUUCAAAUCUGUGCCUCCGCCGGUUUUGACACCGUGCAAUGAAGCAUCCGAGCUCUCAGAUGUC